rnacentral:rRNA from 1 species
UACGGAGGUGGCAAGCGUUUGUUCGGAAUUACUGGGCGUAAAGGGCGCGUAGGCGGCUAGGCAAGUCAGGUGUGAAAGCCCCGAGCUUAACUCGGGAACUGCAUCUGAAACUGCUGGGCUUGAGUUCUGGAGGGGGUAGUGGAAUUCCCAGUGUAGCGGUGAAAUGCGUAGAUAUUGGGGAGGAACACCUGCGGCGAAGGCGGCUACCUGGACAGAAACUGACGCUGAGGCGCGAAAGCUAGGGGAGCGAACGGG